rnacentral:rRNA from 1 species
CCGAGGAAAAGAAAUCAACCGAGAUUCCCCCAGUAGCGGCGAGCGAACGGGGAGGAGCCCAGAGCCUGAAUCAGCAUGUGUGUUAGUGGAAGCGUCUGGAAAGGCGCGCGAUACAGGGUGACAGCCCCGUACACAAAAGCGCAUGUGCUGUGAGCUCGAUGAGUAGGGCGGGACACGUGGUAUCCUGUCUGAAUAUGGGGGGACCAUCCUCCAAGGCUAAAUACUCCUGACUGACCGAUAGUGAACCAGUACCGUGAGGGAAAGGCGAAAAGAACCCCGGCGAGGGGAGUGAAAAAGAACCUGAAACCGUGUACGUACAAGCAGUGGGAGCACCCUUUGGGGUGUGACUGCGUACCUUUUGUAUAAUGGGUCAGCGACUUAUAUUCUGUAGCAAGGUUAACCGUAUAGGGGAGCCGUAGGGAAACCGAGUCUUAACCGGGCGUUAAGUUGCAGGGUAUAGACCCGAAACCCGGUGAUCUAGCCAUGGGCAGGUUGAAGGUUGGGUAACACUAACUGGAGGACCGAACCGACUAAUGUUGAAAAAUUAGCGGAUGACCUGUGGCUGGGGGUGAAAGGCCAAUCAAACCGGGAGAUAGCUGGUUCUCCCCGAAAGCUAUUUAGGUAGCGCCUCGUGAAUUCAUCUCCGGGGGUAGAGCACUGUUUCGGCUAGGGGGCCAUCCCGGCUUACCAA